GACGAACGCUGGCGGCGUGCUUAACACAUGCAAGUCGAACGGUGAUGCUCCAGCUUGCUGGAGUGGAUCAGUGGCGAACGGGUGAGUAACACGUGAGCAACCUGCCCCAGACUCUGGAAUAAGCGCUGGAAACGGCGUCUAAUACUGGAUACGAAACUGGCCCGCAUGGGCAUGGUUUGUAAAGUUUUUCGGUUUGGGAUGGGCUCGCGGCCUAUCAGCUUGUUGGUGAGGUAGUGGCUCACCAAGGCGACGACGGGUAGCCGGCCUGAGAGGGCGACCGGCCACACUGGGACUGAGACACGGCCCAGACUCCUACGGGAGGCAGCAGUGGGGAAUAUUGCACAAUGGGCGAAAGCCUGAUGCAGCGACGCCGCGUGAGGGAUGACGGCCUUCGGGUUGUAAACCUCUUUCAGCAGGGAAGAAGCGAAAGUGACGGUACCUGCAGAAGAAGCACCGGCUAACUACGUG
rnacentral:rRNA from 1 species